rnacentral:tRNA from 1 species
AGCUCAGUAGCUAAGAGCACUUGCUCUGCAAGCAAGAGGACCUGAGUUCGAAUCCCAG